rnacentral:rRNA from 1 species
UACGGAGGGUGCGAGCGUUAUCCGGAUUCACUGGGUUUAAAGGGUGCGUAGGUGGGAAUGUAAGUCAGUGGUGAAAUCUCUGAGCUUAACUCAGAAACUGCCAUUGAUACUAUGUUUCUUGAAUUUUUCUGGAGGUCAGCGGAAUAUGUCAUGUAGCGGUGAAAUGCUUAGAUAUGACAUAGAACACCAAUUGCGAAGGCAGCUGGCUACAGGGAUAUUGACACUGAGGCACGAAAGCGUGGGAUCAAACAGG